AUGAGAAAACUGAGGUCACCCCCCCCCCAGUACUUUGGCAACUUGACUAAGAUGACAAAAUUGCAGCAGAUGUUGUGACCCUGGGUAAUGUCUUUGGGCCUCAGUUUCUCCAUUGGUGAAGAAGCUGAGGCCAGUGGAAGCGAAGUGCCUUGUCCAGGCCAGCACAACCAGGAGCUGAUAGAGUCCGAUUGGAACUGAAGCCUGGGUAACUUUAAAGUUCAAAUCUUUUGAACUUAAAUCACUUCUCUCACCUCCACAAGAGCACUGCUCGCUUGCUGCUACCGAGGCUGAGCUGUGAGUAGGGAUUAGGAAUGUGGAAAGGGAUUAGGGAUUGAUGCAGGAGAUCUGGCUUGGCUGUGUAUGAGGAAGGCUGAGAGAGCUGGCGGGUGACUGUGGACCUUUCCUCUUCAGGCUGCAGAAGUAGCUUCCAAACUCUUGGUCUCCUCACCCUUUGGAUGGCCGAUGUAGGCUUAGAGACAGCUGCGGGUGACUCUUAGGAUUCUAUCUUGAUAGACCACCCGUCUAAGUUUGUCACAGGAUGUCAGGAGCCACGUGCCAAGUUACUGGACACAUGGUCUUGUGCCCUAGCAGGA